rnacentral:tRNA from 1 species
AACUAAAUAGUUUAUAUUAAAAUUUGUGAUUUGCAUUCACAAGAUAGAUUGUUUCUUUUAGUUG